CCUACGGGUGGCUGCAGUGAGGAAUAUUGGUCAAUGGACGAGAGUCUGAACCAGCCAAGUCGCGUGAAGGAUGACUGCCCUAUGGGUUGUAAACUUCUUUUAUAUGGGAAUAAAGUGUUCCACGUGUGGGAUUUUGUAUGUACCAUAUGAAUAAGGAUCGGCUAACUCCGUGCCAGCAGCCGCGGUAAUACGGAGGAUCCGAGCGUUAUCCGGAUUUCUUGGGUUUAAAGGGAGCGUAGGUGGAUUGUUAAGUCAGUUGUUAAAGUUUGCGGCUCAACCGUCAAAUUGCAGUUGAAACUGGCAGUAUGGAGUACAGUAGAGGUGGGCGGAAUGCGCGGUGUAGCGGGGAAAUGCUUAGAUAUCACGAAGAACUCCGAUUGCGAAGGCAGUUCACUGGACUGAAACUGACACUGAGGCUCGAAAGUGUGGGUAUCAAACAGGAUUAGAUACCCGAGUAGUC
rnacentral:rRNA from 1 species